rnacentral:lncRNA from 1 species
GAAACAUCUCGGAAGUAUGCUCGGAUGCAUCAGGACUGCGGCACUAUCUGCGUCUCAGGACCAGCUACAGAUCGCAAGAACAAGCUUCAUCCUGAGAAUGGACGUUUCCUGUGGGUCUGCGCAAUCGUCUUCCAGAGGACCACACGAUUUCAUCAUCGUUCACGCAUCUCCGAACUCAUGGGUGGCCUUAUCGGGGUUCCCAAUCCUCAUUUAAUGGAAUGUUGCCUCGCCAGAGUGACGAAAUCCCCUUUUGCGUCAGCCGCCCUGUCUGUUCAAACAAACCUGUCGCUUGGUUCACUCUCUGCACUCUUUUUGUUAUCGUUGUCGUAGCUGCUGCUGCUGUUUUGCUCGGAAACAGCGGCAGGUACACCCCAUGGAGUUUCGGCAAAGAUGCGGACACGUUGUGCUAAGGGAAGUUCUGAAGAGCCUUGAAUUAGGAUUAAGAUAUGCCCUUAUUUCUCUUGACCUUUCUACUUCAUAAUAUUAUUAACUGUGUCGUUAUUAUUAGCAACCUUUCGAAGACAAGAAUGACGGC